AGGGAUCCUUACAGAGUUGCAAAACUCCCUAAACCAUUGUGAACGUUACCUAUCCCGUUGCUUCGGCGGGCGGCGGCGGGGUUUACCCCCCGGGCGCCCCUGGGCCCCACCGCGGGCGCCCGCCGGAGGUCACCAAACUCUUGAUAAUUUAUGGCCGGUCGGAGUCUUCUGUACUGAAUAAGUCAAAACUUUCAACAACGGAUCUCUUGGUUCUGGCAUCGAUGAAGAACGCAGCGAAAUGCGAUAAGUAAUGUGAAUUGCAGAAUUCAGUGAAUCAUCGAAUCUUUGAACGCACAUUGCGCCCGCCAGCAUUCUGGCGGGCAUGCCUGUUCGAGCGUCAUUUCAACCAUCAAGCCCCCGGGCUUGUGUUGGGGACCUGCGGCUGCCGCAGGCCCUGAAAGGGGCAGUGGGGCUCGCUGUCGCACCGAGCGUAGUAGCAUACAUCUCGCUCUGGUCGCGCCGCGGGUUCCGGCCGUUAAACCACCUUUUAACCCAAGGUUGACCUCGGAUCAGGUAGGAAGAGGCGCUGAACUUAAGCAUAUCAUAAGCCGGAGGAAAC
rnacentral:rRNA from 1 species